rnacentral:rRNA from 1 species
GAUGAACGCUGGCGGCGUGCCUAAUACAUGCAAGUCGAGCGAACAGACGAGGAGCUUGCUCCUCUGACGUUAGCGGCGGACGGGUGAGUAACACGUGGAUAACCUACCUAUAAGACUGGGAUAACUUCGGGAAACCGGAGCUAAUACCGGAUAAUAUAUUGAACCGCAUGGUUCAAUAGUGAAAGACGGUUUUGCUGUCACUUAUAGAUGGAUCCGCGCCGCAUUAGCUAGUUGGUAAGGUAACGGCUUACCAAGGCAACGAUGCGUAGCCGACCUGAGAGGGUGAUCGGCCACACUGGAACUGAGACACGGUCCAGACUCCUACGGGAGGCAGCAGUAGGGAAUCUUCCGCAAUGGGCGAAAGCCUGACGGAGCAACGCCGCGUGAGUGAUGAAGGUCUUCGGAUCGUAAAACUCUGUUAUUAGGAAAGAACAAAUGUGUAAGUAACUAUGCACGUCUUGACGGUACCUAAUCAGAAAGCCACGGCUAACUACG